UUCUGUCCCGCCUCCUCCCGCUGUUGUUGUGAGUCCUCCCGAGGCAUCGCUAUGAGGCUCGCUUCGGCUGACGCUUUCCCGGGAGCCAAAGCGUACGUGAGUACCAGAACGAGAGACGAUUUCAGGCGAGGUGUCCGGCAGCCCAGGGAGGUCCUCCGCCUUGGUUGGUGUCACUGUGAACCGUACGGACGCCAUGGCGAGGCCCUUGGAAAAGAAAGAGGUGCAGGGAGGGAAAAGGGCGUGGGGGGUUGAUUGGUGCGAGGUAUCACAGGCACGGCUGAGGCAAAGUGAGUUGGGCUAAUGCGCUCAGGUGACGGUCAGGUAAUUCGUUUUUUUACAGCAUUGAUUCUCCAUGAAGGCAACAGUUUCUUUUGUUGUCUCUUUUUUGCUGGGGCAGGGACAUGGGCAGAUGCAGGAACAGGGGUUGGUGCAAAUGUAAGGGCAAGGGCAAGGAGUUGUCACAGGUGCACAAGCUGGGACAGGAGAAGGCACAAGGGCAGGGGUGGUAAUAGGGGUAUGGAUAAAGGCAGAAGCAGGGCCAAGGGGUAGUUAUAGGGAAAGGAACAGGGAAGUAAAAGGGUCAGGGUCAUGGUCAAGGGAAAGGGGUUGUUGUCAUAGGUGCAAGAGCAAGGAUGAAACGACAGUGGCCAGAAGAAAAAGUUUGUGUCAUUGAGAGCGGAAGAAACAGCGUUAUGGGAACCAAUAUUGCAGCAGGAAAAGGAACAUUGGCCCAGGAUUGGAGCAGGACGAAGAGGAACAGGGGGACACGAAACAAAGGAAUGGCUCAAGAAGAAGCACAUCAGAUCCUGUGGUGCCUUUGCCAGUCUCAUGACCUGCAUCUCAUAAAAAAAGACUGAAGGAAGCAGGAUUUGCCAAGCAAGAGCCUCAAAACUGUGAAGAUUUGAAGAGUAAUCUGAAAGGAUGAGUGGACGAAAAACACAUCAUGAGGAUCUCUGUGUUUUUGUGUGUCCUCCCUUGUGUUGUGACCAGCUGCUGGCUCUCCGCCAAACCGGGGUCCGCAUGGAGAGACCGGAGCAGAUGCGGAGGAAGAGACGGGGCUAUGGAGCUAGCGUUAAGCGUGGGAAUAUAUGAGCUUCACGGAGCUGAAUGAGCACGAAUCGGACACGUCAGUCUCCCUGAACAGAUUCCCGCUCAUCCGCGCAGAUCGGACAUUGGCCGGGGGCUAGUGGGCAGUCUACGAAGGAGCCGGCUCUCUUUUUAAUUUUCCUGAGGGAACUCUCCUGAAGUAAUCAAUAAAGUACUAUCCAUCUAUCUAUCUAUCUAUCUAUC